rnacentral:rRNA from 1 species
UACGAAGGGAGCGAGCGUUAUUCGGAAUCACUGGGCGUAAAGCGUGCGUAGGCGGCCAAGAAAGUCAGAAGUGAAAUCCCAAGGCUUAACCAUGGAAUUGCUUUUGAAACUUCUUGUCUGGAGUAUGGUAGAGGAUAGCGGAAUUCCGAGUGUAGAGGUGAAAUUCGCAGAUAUUCGGAGGAACGCCAGUUGCGAAGGCGGCUAUCUGGACCAUUACUGACGCUGAGGUACGAAAGCGUGGGGAUCAAACAGG